AUCGGAAUUACUGGGCGUAAAGCGUGCGUAGGCGGCUGUUUAAGUCAGAUGUGAAAGCCCCGGGCUUAACCUGGGAACUGCAUUUGAUACUGGAGGGCUAGAGUUUAAUAGAGGGGAGUGGAAUUUCCGGUGUAGCGGUGAAAUGCGUAGAGAUCUGAAGGAACACCAGUGGCGAAGGCGACUCCCUGGAUUAAAACUGACGCUGAGGUACGAAAGCGUGGGUAGCAAACAGGAUUAGAUACCCUGGUAGUCCACGCCGUAAACGAUGUCAACUAGCCGUUGGGCCUUUUAACAAGAUUAGUGGCGCAGCUAACGCAUUAAGUUGACCGCCUGGGGAGUACGGCCGCAAGGUUAAAACUCAAAUGAAUUGACGGGGGCCCGCACAAGCGGUGGAGCAUGUGGUUUAAUUCGAUGCAACGCGAAGAACCUUACCUACCCUUGACAUGCAUAGAAUC
rnacentral:rRNA from 1 species